AAGGAUCAUUCACAAUAAGUGUUUAAUGGCACUUUAAAAUCCAUUACCCACCUUGUGUGCACUGUAGGGAAGGGGCAGAACCGGUGCGCCACACAUGUUGUGUGCUUGCUGGCCUGCCUCUUUCAUUAUACACAUACUAUCUUCAUUCUCGUCUACUUCAAUUGAGUAUAAAACUCUAAUACAACUUUCAACAACGGAUCUCUUGGCUCUC
rnacentral:misc_RNA from 1 species